rnacentral:rRNA from 1 species
UAUAAUUGAAGUCUGGAAUGAAAGAAAAGACGGGUGAUUGCUGUCUCUUAAAAGUGUAAGAAGUUAUUUAAUAAGUGCAAAUACUUAUAGAUAAAUAAUAGACGAGAAGACCCUAGAAAUUUUUUAAAAAGUGGGUUAACCUAACUAAUAUUUUGUUGGGGCGACAGAAUAACAGUUAACUUAUCUUAAUAAUAUGGACUACGUAAAGAGAAAAAUUAAAUUACUCUAGGGAUAACAGCAUAAUUUAUACAAGUUUGUGACCUCGAUGUUGGACUAGGGAUCUUAAUACUUAGAAGACGUUAAGGAAGGCUCUGUUCGAGCGCUCUCACCCUACAUGAUCUGAGUUCAAACCGGA